UGUAGCCACCAUAGGGAUAAGAAGUCCGGACCUUUUCUCCGAAAGGAUCAUAACAACUGGUAACACCUCUGCUCAUCAUGCCCAACCCCUGGAAAGGCUUAUGAAGGACUGAGGCCAAGAAAGACAAUGGCAAAGCACUGGAUGCAAUGAGCAUCAUCUAAAGCACCGAGCUCAGGGGAAUCAAAUUUGAGAGAUGCUCAGGCUCCUGUCUGGGUUGCUACAACAGUGAUGGAGGAAGCUGCUGUAGGAUCACAGAGAGUUCUCCUUCCUGAAAGUCGAUAGCCCCUUAAAGGGACUGGAAAGCUGAACGUAAACCCACAAAGGUUCAGGAGAACUCAGUGGCAGACGACAUCAUAAAGAUGCAAUAAAGAUCUAUUCUUCAAAACUUGCUUGUGACACUUCCAGAAGGACUGUUUGCUUAACAAGAUGUCCUUCCGAUUCAGUACAAACCAGCACUACUUCUCUGGGGAUAAAAGAUCACCAUGCAGAAUGGUAUCUGAAGCCAGCUACAUAAACUUGGAAAGCAGAAACUCACUUACUACUCCUGUG